rnacentral:rRNA from 1 species
GAUGAACGCUGGCGGCGUGCUUAACACAUGCAAGUCGAGCGGAGUUAUUUCAAGGAAGUUUUCGGAUGGAAUUGAAAUAACUUAGCGGCGGACGGGUGAGUAACGCGUGGGUAACCUGCCUCAUACAGGCGGAUAACAGUCGGAAACGACUGCUAAUACCGCAUAAGCGCACAGUGCUGCAUAGCACAGUGUGAAAAACACCGGUGGGAUGAGAUGGACCCGCGUCUGAUUAGGUAGUUGGUGGGGUAACGGCCCACCAAGCCGACGAUCAGUAGCCGGCCUGAGAGGGUGACCGGCCACAUUGGGACUGAGACACGGCCCCAACUCCUACGGGAGGCAGCAGUGGGGAAUAUUGGACAAUGGGGGAAAGCCUGAUCCAGCGACGCCGCGUGAGUGAAGAAGUAUUUCGGUAUGUAAAGCUCUAUCAGCGGGGAAGAAAAUGACGGUACCUGACUAAGAAGCCCCGGCUAACUACGUGCCAGCCGCCGCAGUAA